CUAGGACAAGAGGCAGAGGCAGAGAGACAGAGAGGAGCCACCCUAAGAAGAGAGACCAGAUACCCUUUUCUCAUCCUUUGAGUUCAACAGAUGUCUCUUCUGGUUGCAAGUGACAGAAGCCCACACAGAAAAGGCUCAGACCAAAGAGAAAUUUAUGGGCUCCUGAAACAGUAUGUCAGAGAGAGAUUGGGCCAGGGCUGGGGUGUGACCCCGGCUCUUUCUUGGUUUCUCCUCGCCGCUUCUCUCUGUCCUGCAGCCUCACAGUGUCAGACAGGAUUCUUUCAAGAAUUGCAAACUUGGCUGAAGACACUUCCUGUCCCCUUUCUUACCUCCCAUGUACAGGAUGGGGGUGAUGGUCCCACUUCUCUGACUCUCACCCAGAAGUUAGGAACUCCUUAAGCACUGGGCCCAGCUGACUACAGUUCCACAGGAAAAGGGGCUGUCUUAGUCACUUUUCAUCCACAUAGCUGCUACGUUCAUGAGGGGACCCAACUACGGGCUUUAA